UUGACCUCGGAUCAGGCGGAGGAAAAGAAACCAACAGGGAUUGCCUCAGUAACGGCGAGUGAAGCGGCAAAAGCUCAAAUUUUAAAGCUGACAUCUUCGGUGUCCGCGUUGUAAUUUUGUGAGGCAUCUCCGGGUAGGGCGCCGGCCUAAGUUCCUUGGAACAGGACGUCACAGAGGGUGAGAAUCCCGUGCUUGGCUGGCUGUCCCCGUCCAUGUGAGGUGUCUUCGACGAGUCGAGUUGUUUGGGAAUGCAGCUCAAAAUGGGUGGUAAAUUUCAUCUAAAGCUAAAUAUUGGUGGGAGACCGAUAGCGCACAAGUAGAGUGAUCGAAAGAUGAAAAGCACUUUGAAAAUAGAGUUAAAAAGUACGUGAAAUUGUUGAAAGGGAAGCGCUUGAGACCAGACUUCGGUAAGGGGUGAUCAGCCGUCCUUCUGGGCGGUGCACUUGCCCCCCUCCGGGCCAGCAUCGGUUGAGGCGGCGGGAUAAAGGUCCCGGGAAUGUGGCUCCUUCACGGGAGUGUUAUAGCCCGGGUGAAUGCCGCCAGCUUCGACCGAGGACCGCACCCGC
rnacentral:rRNA from 1 species